rnacentral:lncRNA from 1 species
GGCCACCGAGGAGAAUCUCAGCGAUCCUCAGUUGCUGCCGCAUCCUCUGGUAGUCGCCAUGGCUGCCUACAAGCUAGUGCUGACCCGGCCUGGCGAGAGUGCCUGUAACCUGGAGAACUGCUUCAGCAGCUGGUACAAUGCUGACCUGAGCCCAGCGGGCCACGAGAAGGAGAAGUGUGGUGGGCAGGUAUUGCGAGAUGCUGGCUAUGAGUUUGACAUCUGCUUUACCUCUGUGCGGAAGAGAGCAAUCCGGACCCUCUGGACAGUCCUGGAUGCCAUUCACUAGAUGUGGUUGCCAGUGGUCAGGACUUGGUGCCUCAAUGAGUGACGCUAUGGGGGGUCUAACGGGUCUCAAUAAAACAAAAACUGCUGCUAAGCAUGGUGAGGCACAGGUAAAGAUCUGGAGAUGAUCUUACAAUGUUCCGCCGCUUCCAAUGGAGCCUGAUCAUCGCUUCUACAACAACAUUAGCAAGGAUCGCAGGUACGCAGACCUUACUGAGGACCAGCAACCCUCCUGUGAGAGCCUGAAGGAUACUACUGCCAGAGCACUGCCCUUCUGGAAUGAAGAAAUUGUCCUCCAGAUCAAGGAGGGGAAAUGGGUCUUGAUUGCUACCCAUGGCAACAGCCUUUGGGGCAUCAGCAAACAUCUGGAGGGUCUCUCAGAAGAGGCCUUCAUGGAGCUGAACCUGCCAACUGGCAUUCCCAUCACCUAUGAAUUGGACAAGAACUUGAAGCCCAUCAAGCCCAUGCGGUUCCUGGGAGAUGAGGAGACCGUGCGUAAAGCCAUGGAAGCUGUGGUCGCUCAGGGCAAGGUGAAGAAGUGAAGGCGAGGAAGCAGACUCCUACCCCACACCCUCUCCCCCUGCCUGUUCCUGCCUCCUGCACCCUCCCCUGCACCUGCCACACUGACUACAUCUUUAGGAUCUUCAGUUUAAGUGGUAACUGCAGAUGGGGACCUGUGGCUCCCAUUCUCCUUUUAGUAUUUUAUCCCCUGCACCCACUCCCUUCACAGAAUCUAGUCAGAAUAACACCUCUGGCGUGCAGGCUCUUGGUCCACAUCCAGGGACGGCUCCCUGUACCAGGAGAGUUGAGAGAUAGUAAUUAUAGUUUUUCUUGGUUCUUUGUUUACUAAAGAUUGCUAAGGAAGGAGUCAGGGAGGGACUGUACUGUGGUAUGACCAAUGAGGAGAAGCUGUGGUCCAGUUUUGUCCCUGUAACCUGCCCUGCACUCUUCCCACAAUUAGGUAAUUGAGGGCACAGUCAUUCCAGUGGAGAGUGAAAGUAACAUCAUGGUGAUUAAAAGACCCUACUUUCUCUCUGACCCUAAAGGAGCUGCUGGCCCUAGAAGGUUGGGAUCAAUCUUGUCAAGUCUAUGUGCUACAUUUACUUUUACAAAAAUAAAGUAUAUAUACAUAUAUCAGCACAAAAGCAACUCGGAGGUUGCUAGUGGCAGUUGAAACAGUCCUAUGUGGUCACCAGAAAAUAACUCAUUCCCCAUAUCAAAUGGGAUAAACUCCUUGUACCUCUUGCUGUGUUUGGGUCCCUUUGCCUUGUUUUGUAGAGGUGAGGUGCCCCUUGAUCGUGUCCAAGCAAGUUUUUGUCUUUCACUGUCUGAAUCAUGUCCCAGCUGCUUGACCCUACUGUGUGGGCUCAGAACUUGU